rnacentral:lncRNA from 1 species
GGCUGCACUUACAGACCUUUUCUUCCAUCACACAGCCCUGGGUUCCAGGCACUGCUCCUGAACUCUUUUUCAUGAUCUUGAUACUCAGGCUUCACCAUCAGAUAAACACAUUUCUGAAUAACGCUGAGUCACUGUGCUAAUUGAAAAAGCACACUUAAUCCAUCACAAAACUGAGAGAAGAGGUAUCCACAGGAACAUUAUCAGUCAGCUGCCACUGACUUUGGAAUCCUGGAAAAGAAGACAAAACCUUAAUUUACUGAAUAAAGACAGUGAUC